GACGAACGCUGGCGGCGUGCUUAACACAUGCAAGUCGAACGAUGAAGCCGGAGCUUGCUCUGGUGAAUUAGUGGCGAACGGGUGAGUAACACGUGAGUAACCUGCCCUUGACUCUGGGAUAACUGCGGGAAACUGUCGCUAAUAGCGGAUACGACCCUCGGAGGCAUCUCCUGGGGGUGAAAAGAAUUUCGGCAAAGGAUGGACUCGCGGCCUAUCGGCUAGUUGGUGAGGUAAAGGCUCACCAAGGCGACGACGGGUAGCCGGCCUGCGGGGGUGACCGGCCACACUGGGACUGAGACACGGCCCAGACUCCUACGGGAGGCAGCAGUGGGGAAUAUUGCACAAUGGGCGCAAGCCUGAUGCAGCAACGCCGCGUGAGGGAUGACGGCCUUCGGGUUGUAAACCUCUUUAGCAGGGAAGAAGCGAAAGUGACGGUACCUGCAGAAAAAGCACCGGCUAACUACGUGCCAGCAGCCGCCGUAA
rnacentral:rRNA from 1 species